AUACGUAGGUGGCAAGCGUUGUCCGGAAUUAUUGGGCGUAAAGCGCGCGCAGGUGGUUCCUUAAGUCUGAUGUGAAAGCCCCCGGCUCAACCGGGGAGGGUCAUUGGAAACUGGGGAACUUGAGUGCAGAAGAGGAUAGUGGAAUUCCAAGUGUAGCGGUGAAAUGCGUAGAGAUUUGGAGGAACACCAGUGGCGAAGGCGACUGUCUGGUCUGUAACUGACACUGAGGCGCGAAAGCGUGGGGAGCAAACAGGAUUGGAUACCCUGGUAGUCCACGCCGUAAACGAUGGGUGCUAAGUGUUGGGGGGUUUCCGCCCCUCAGUGCUGCAGCUAACGCAUUAAGCACUCCGCCUGGGGAGUACGGUCGCAAGACUGAAACUCAAAUGAAUUGACGGGG
rnacentral:rRNA from 1 species